UACGUAGGGGUGCGAGCGUUUGUCCGGAAUUAUUGGGCGUAAAGGGCUCGUAGGCGGUUUGUCGCGUCGGGAGUGAAAACCCAGGGCUUAACUCUGGGCUUGCUUUCGAUACGGGCAGACUAGAGGUAUGCAGGGGAGAACGGAAUUCCUGGUGUAGCGGUGAAAUGCGCAGAUAUCAGGAGGAACACCGGUGGCGAAGGCGGGUCUCUGGGCCGAUACUGACGCUGAGGAGCGAAAGCGUGGGGAGCGAACAGG
rnacentral:rRNA from 1 species